rnacentral:lncRNA from 1 species
CUCUUUGUUCCACCCCAAACUGCUUUGGUAGUGUUAAGUUUUAGUAAAAGAGUGAAGGCGUUUUCUAGCCAAAUAACCUGGAGAACCUGCUAAUCUAGAAAUUCCUCUUCAUCUUUUUUUUUUUUUCCUGCAAAUGACAAGAACAAGUUAAUUUUUUAUUUCCCUUUUGCAGAAUAUCUGAUCAGAACAUCAUUCCCUCAGUAACUAGGUCUGUGUCCGUGCCAGAUACUGGCUCUAUCUGGGAGCUUCAGCCAACAGCUUCACAGCCUACAGUUUGGGAAGGUGGUAGUGUAUGGGAUCUUCCUCUGGACACCACGACACCAGGCCCUGCCCUGGAACAGCUUCAGCAGCUAGAGAAGGCCAAAGCUGCAAAGGUCUGAAACUCAUUCUUCUGCAACAGUGCAUUGUCAUCUGGCUGCAGGACAUAAACAUUGCUGUUUAUUCAUCUCUCUAGCUAGCUAUGCUUUUUACUUUCAGUUUACUGCUGCUUAGCUGGUAUAAGUACAUUCAUAUUGUAUCUUUACUGUGCUCUCUUCUCC